ACAUACGACCAUAGACUCAAGAGAAUUGGGCAUCCCGUCCGCUCUGCCAUACACAAGCUUGAGAUCGGUGGAUUAGUAGUUGGGUGGGUGAGAUCGGUGGAUUAGGAGAUCGGUGGAUUAGUAGUUGGGUGGGUGACCACCAGCGAAUACCCACUGUUGUAUGUU
rnacentral:rRNA from 1 species